ACCCAGCUUUAGUCUAGAAACCAAAGGUCAGGGUGUGCUCCCUAACUUAUCUUAGCCUUUGUUAAUACUGUGUGGAGCUCCUCCAGUUAACCAUUCACCCCAGCUGACUGUUUGUGUGGAACCCGACUCAGGCUGGCUAAGCACUCACCUCAGCUUCUGUGUGGAGACUUGCUUGCUCCACACAGCUCAGUCUGCGAAGGCCCCCUGCUGCUGUUGCCGAGUGAGGGGCCUGCGCCCUUAAAAGCACCAUGCUUUGGACAUCACCUACAUCCCUGAAUGCUUGGGUGUGGUCCCAGCUGGCUGGAAUCAAGACUUUCAAUUGGCUAUGAACUGUGUCUGAGUGGCCAUCGCUGGCUAACACCAUGACUUGGCCACAAGAACACAGAAGACGGGGAGGUGCCAUGCUUCCUCUGUGUGUACACCCUGCCCGGGAGCUUGAGUGCUGCUUGGGACUCACCUCCACAGGACACAGUUUCCACGUAAUGGAAUCCCCUCUGUGCCUUUAUGGCUUGCUGUCAUUAAGCCGACUCUGCGUUAUCCUCCUAUUCCUCAGACCCUCCGAGAUGCUCCAGCCGGAAGGACGUCUCCCUGCUCUUUGAGGGCUUGCUCAGCCUUACAUCUGCUCCAGGCAUGCGGGUGGCAGACACCUUGUUUUGAGUGCAGCCAAUAGUUGCAGUCUUUUAGAUAAUUUAAACUGCCUUCACAGGGCUGUAAGAUGGCUGUACAAGUUAAGACCACGCGCUGCUUUCCAGAGGACUGAAGUUCAGUUCCCAGCCUCUACAGUGACACACAACUCUCUGUAAGUUCAGUUCCAAAGGAUCUGACGCCUUCUGGCUUCUGCAGACACCUGGAUGUGCUGUCUAGAUUUGUGUCAACAUGACACAAGACAGAGUCAUUCGGGAAGAGGGAUCCUUAACUGAGAAAAUGCCUUAUGUAUAUACAUAAAAUAAAACAACUCUUUAAAACAACCUAAUGGCUUUUAUCAAUACAACCCAGAUAAAGAGCUCAUUGGCCUUUA